UAAUAAUGGUGAGGGCAAUUUCUAAGCAUACCCUUAAAUCUCUCCCAAGCUUGGUAUAGAUUCUCUCCUUCUUUCUAUCUAAAACUCAAAAUCUCACUUCUUAAACG
rfam:Capsicum annuum cultivar Zunla-1 chromosome 6, whole genome shotgun sequence